GCGAGUAUAGCACAGCGGUCAGUGCAAUUGACUCAUAAUCGAUUGGUCGGGGGUUCAAAUCCCUCUACUCGCACCA
rnacentral:tRNA from 2 species